CAUUCAAAGACAAUUUCAGACAGUUAAUCAUUUCACACGUUUCACACACACACAGUGUUUUUGAAGUGUCAAAAGUUUAUAAAUUUCAUAAAAAAAUAAAUAAUUGAGAUAUUUAAUUUAAAAAUUACGCAUUGUAUUUAAAGAAAAUGGUUAAAAUAAUUGACAAAAUAUCUACCAUCCUUCACUACUGGUACUUUAGAUAUUUACUUGUGACAGAAUUGUACAUGGUUGAAAAAUGGGAAAGACACUUUGUUAACAUCUUUUUGAUAUCAAUGUUCUUUGCAUUCUUCCUCUUCAACUAUAAUGCAGUAUUACCAACAACAUCAUAUCUUCUUUCUCUAAAUUAGUGAAUAAUUAUGCAGUAUUUUAGAUAGGAAUCAGAUUUUAAGGAAUAGUCAUUUCACUUAAGAUAAUUUAACAACUGGCACAUGAAUUCAUAUGAUGACACUAAAGCUUACUUAUUUUUGUACAUAUAUAGAUAAAUAGCCUUAACAGAAAUGUGUAUUUUUAAUGAUGACAAGAAUAUUGGCACAACGUUGUAAAUAUAUAUAUAUUCUGUUGAGAAAAUAAAAAUUUAAUCAAUUUUAAAUUAAAUUAAAAUUUUAUUAUUAAAAAAAAUUCCAAACUUGAAUAAAAUAAAUGAGAAAUUAAAGAAAAAUUUAAAAAAAAAAACCCAAAAUUGGUAAACUAAAAUUGUACAUAGAUAUUAUAAAUUGUUUAUAAAAUAAAUAAUAGUUUUUGAGUACAAAAUAUUUGAAACUAAGAAAACUGAAUUUUAAUGUUCAUGCGCAAACUUGAUAUUGAAUUAACAAAUGCUGUCGAAUCUAUUGUCAUUUUGUUUAUAUUCUUUCAAAAUUGUGGAAAAAAUGCAAAACAUUUUAAAAAAAGAAGAAGAAAUUAUACCUUUGGAUGAGAUGUUUGAAGCUUACUGUCAAAUGG